rnacentral:lncRNA from 1 species
UGAUUCUCCUGGGUCAGCCUCCGGAGUAGCUGGGAUUACAGAUUUCUUCCCGGUCAGCCCCAAACACUGAAUGUAAAUACGGUCCAACAUCAACCUGCAAACGAACACUGACAUGAAAGUGCAGUUGGAAAGGAUCUCGCAAAGGAACAGAAUCUGGUGAUCCUAAUCGUAAUGAACGUGAUCGCCGGGUAUUGAGAGCUUGCAGGUACCAGGGCUCCGGCACUACGUGUUUCACAGGGGCCACUCGGUAGACCUCUUGGUGACCUUGAGGUCAGGUACCACGUUCCCAUUUUACAGAGGAGGAAACUGAGAUAACCUACGACAGCGAAAAGGUAGCAGAGCUGGGACUGGUGCCCAGGCUCGCCGAGUGGAAAAGCCCUCGGCCACCGUGGAGAGCUCGCUUCCUGUGGUCUGAAGCGUCGCCCCUGCACCGGCUUCUGCUGCCAAGGAUGGCUUUUCCUCACUGGUGCCCACCUACGCUCACUUGUGUCAUGUGGUUAAGCCCUUUUGGCAACAUAAGACCUUUCCCAAGAAUGUGCCUCGGUGCAGAGGAAGACGGUGGGGGCAGGCCCCCUCCCCGGGAUGCUCCACCCUCCCUGACCUCACACGGGUGCAACCUGGGCCGUGGCCGAGACCUGCUGUGUGGCAGACAAUGGGAAGCCUGUGUGUCGUCCUGGGUGCCGGAUUUAGACAAUAUUUAGCUUUCCCUUGGUGGAAAAGCCUUUCCCCUCCUGCUUUGGGCAGGAACUGGUUCCUGUUGGGCGGGGCCUGGCUGCUGCCCCACCCCCACCCGGCCGGGCACCUUGACCGGCAGCUCUCCGGGCUGCUCCCUGCCUGUGUCCCUGAGCACUGACUCCAGAGGUUUAAUCAUUAACGGGCACGUUUGGCCUUCGGUCGUGGGCUGGAAUUUGGGACCUGUGCCCGGGAACAAUGAUCUCCGACACAUUAUUUUGUGUAAAAUCACUUUUAGCUGCCAUUAGCUAAUAAAGCUGGAAUAAAGUGAGGUCCAUUAACC